UACGAAGGGGGCUAGCGUUGCUCGGAAUUACUGGGCGUAAAGGGCGCGUAGGCGGCCUGUUAAGUCGAACGUGAAAUCCCCGGGCUCAACCCGGGAACUGCGUCCGAUACUGGCAGGCUUGAAUUCGGGAGAGGGAUGCGGAAUUCCAGGUGUAGCGGUGAAAUGCGUAGAUAUCUGGAGGAACACCGGUGGCGAAGGCGGCAUCCUGGACCGAGAUUGACGCUGAGGCGCGAAAGCCAGGGGAGCAAAACGGGG
rnacentral:rRNA from 1 species